UGCCCCUCACAGAGUCUCUCGGGAAGACAGUUUCUGGUUUUAACCACCUCUCUGGGAGGGCUGCAAAUCAGCUCUCUGGGGCAUGUAAGCAUGUGGGUGGAGCGGGUGGUGGGCACACUUUCAGACCUCGUUUUCCUCCAGUCUCCUGUGUGUGUUCCCGUGCCCAUCCAUUCUUGGACUCGGAGCUUCUCCGUGCUGCUCUAGCACCAUGCUCUCCCCAGACACUGAAUCACGCAUGUAGCCACCUGGAGGGCAGCGUCCCACUCACCUGUGACCUGGGCUCAGCUCCGGCACAGCCAAGGCAAGCUGACCAAGACCAGCGUUUCACUAGAUGCUUUAAACAGAAUGAUGUGCAUCGUGAAUCUCUAAGAAAGGGUUAUGGCUGCAGCAUUUCUCUGCUUACUGGAUCAAGGACCCUUAUUUCUUGGAGGAGUUUGUGGAGCUACUGCCCACACCUGCGUGAGGAGCAUGACUUGCUUUAGGAGUUCUGAUUGGAGAGGAUCUCUGCGAAGAGCUCUGGCUGCCGGGAGGUGUGGGUUAGUGUCUUGUGCCACCCCACUGGCUUCUGAAGCUGAAAGAAUAAUUAGCAGGAGAGUGAACUGUCUUUUAUUUAGAAUUUAAAAACAACUUCAGGGUGUGUUUGCCCAAUAGGUUCUGCCCUGCUUUUAAGUCACGAGUAAAGAAAACUGUUUGUACUUUAUGUUUUUAUUUUGGGAUCUUGCACCAAAGAGCCGAGGGAGAUCUCUGUUGUUCCAUCAAAGGUAUAAUAAAGUUCCACUCUGAUUCA